ACAGCAGUCGCCGCGGUAAUACGAAGGUGGCUAGCGUUGUUCGAAUUUACUGGGCGUAAAGGGCGCGUAGGCGGACUGAUAAGUCAGGGGUGAAAUCCCAAGGCUCAACCUUGGAACUGCCUUUGAUACUGUUUGUCUUGAGUUCGAGAGAGGUAAGUGGAACUGCGAGUGUAGAGGUGAAAUUCGUAGAUAUUCGCAAGAACACCAGUGGCGAAGGCGGCUUACUGGCUCGAUACUGACGCUGAGGCGCGAAAGCGUGGGGAGCAAACAGGAUUAGAUACCCCCGUAGUCCCUGUCUCUUAUAC
rnacentral:rRNA from 1 species